GAUGACGUUAAUCUACCUAAGCAAUUGUACCACCUAUACAAGCCUGACUAUGCCGCAUUGUCGUCAAGUGAACUGGAUCAAUUAGUUACGGAUACUUUCUCUAAUAUUAUGAUUACUACUAAAGAAGCUGACUAUCUGGAGAAGUCGACUAGGAAUCAAGGAAAUUCUUAGGUGUGGUUAGAACACAGGAGAGGACUGAUCACAGCUUCUCACUUCCACUCAGUAUUGCACUAGUCAGGCGUGGCCUGACCCUUGCACGGAGAGGAGGGUCAGGAACACCGUGUACAUCAAUCUUGUUCUCUGCUGCAAGAUUUCUGCAGUGACAAGAGUAUUACGUCAUUUCCUUUUAAUUAACUUUAAUAAUAUAGCAAACCAUUAAUUAAACAGUUCAAGUCUUCAAGAUGGAUCUAGAUACUAAGAUAGAUGAUGCUGCUACAUAUUUUGGAAUAACUUUCAAGGAAGAGCAACGGCUUUGGAAAGUCUCUCUGCUAUCAGUGUCUUCCAAUUGUUAUUGGUUCUGAGUCUCCUAUCAUCAUUGUUGUGUCUCCUUUGAUUGCUCUUAUCAAAGAUCAAGUACAAGCUCUUAGAUCCAGAGGCAUUAAGGCAGG